rnacentral:sRNA from 1 species
AAAAAUGCUAAUUAUUAAGAAGGCUAAGCCUAGGGGUGUCAAAAUGGGUAACCCAACUCAACUCAACUCAUAAUCAAAUGAGUUUAGAAUUAAAUAAGUUAUGGGUUGACCCAACUCAUUUUGCUAAAUGGGUUGAGUCAACCCAUAACUCAUUUAAUUUGAUGGGUUGAGUUGUUAAAUGGGUUAACCCAUUUAAGUAAUAAUUUAAUUAAUUAUUAUUAUAAAAAAUAAUAAAUAAUUAUCAUUAUUAAUUCAUUAUUAUCAAACUUAAGAUAUUUACGGAUUCCACUUUUUACAGGUUUACGUUUUUGGUACCGAAAAUCACGGAUUUACGUUUUUGGCGGGAAAAUUAUAGAUUUUUACGUUUUUGGCCGGAAAAUGAUGGGUUUACGUUUUGGGCGAAAAAAUAACGGAUUUACGUUUUUGGCGGGAAAAUCUCGGGUUUACGUUUUUGACGGGAAAAUCACGGGUUUACGUUUUUUGCGGGAAAAUCACGGGUUUGCGUUUUUGGCGGGAAAAUUACGGAUUUACGUUUUUUGCGGGAAAAUCACGGGGUUACAUUUUUGGCGGGAAAAUUACGGGUUUACGUUUUUGGCGGAAAAAUCACGGGUUUACGUUUUUGGCGGAAAAAUCACGGGUUUAUGUUUUUUGGUGGAAAAAUUACGAGUUUAUUUUUUCUUAAUUUCAUCGCUUGUAUAUUUAAGAAAUUUGGAAAAAUAUUAAUUU